AGAGAAGGUCACCAAUUCAAAAGGUGGUAAGCCAACGCCAUUGACUGAAGAAGCCAACGCUGCUACGUCUUUAAAAGUUGAGGCUAAAUAAUGUUUGCGAGGAUGCUACACAGAUAUGAGUGGGGCUAUGUAGAAUAGGUAAAUAAACUUUGUGGUAAGUUACUGGUUGAUUAUUGAUAACCUUGAGAAUUAGACUAAUGGUUAGGUAGUUUAGUUGGUAACAGUAGGUUGUUAGUAGAAUAAAUGGUUUAGAAUUCAAAUGAUCAUAAUCUUUGGAAUCUGCUGGCCGACGGUCCAUCUUCUGGUAGGAUAAAGAGGUUGAUGAAAGAGAGAUUGAGAGCCAAAGUAUGAGAGUCGUAAGCCGAGAUAAGCUUCGUGCUACUUCUUUAUUUUCUUUAUUAUUUUCUUAUGAAGAAUUAUGAUUGAGAGAAGUAUUAUUGAAUUGAUAAUUGUAGAAUGGAUUAUUUAGAAUUUAUUUAGAAUUUUCUAUGAAUGCUUAGGUUAAUUUUUAAGACCUUGGUAAAAUUAAAUUUUACCACGUGGAGAGCCAUUAUGGAGAAAUGGAGCAAAGUUUGAAGGCCACACAAUGUUUCUAGGCUAAUUGGAUAUUUUUGAAUACCAUGGUGAAGUCAAAAAUAUAAAA
rnacentral:lncRNA from 1 species